GGCUCGUUGGUCUAGGGGUAUGAUUCCUGCUUCGGGUGCAGGAGGUCCCGGGUUCAAAUCCCGAAGGAGCCC
rnacentral:tRNA from 1 species